rnacentral:rRNA from 1 species
UACGGGGGGGGCAAGCGUUGUUCGGAAUUACUGGGCGUAAAGGGCUCGUAGGUGGCCAACUAAGUCAUACGUGAAAUCCCUCAGCUUAACUGGGGAACUGCGUCUGAUACUGGAUGGCUUGAGUUUGGGAGAGGGAUGCGGAAUUCCAGGUGUAGCGGUGAAAUGCGUAGAUAUCGGGAGGAACACCAGUGGCGAAGGCGACUUCCUGGCCUGUUCUUGACGCUGAGGCGCGAAAGCUAGGGGAGAAAACGGG